CGUGCUAAUCUGCGAUAAGCGCCGGUAAGGUGAUAUGAACCGUUAUAACCGGCGAUACCCGAAUGGGGAAACCCAGUGUGACUCGUCACACUAUCAUUAACUGAAUCCAUAGGUUAAUGAGGCGAACCGGGGGAACUGAAACAUCUAAGUACCCCGAGGAAAAGAAAUCAACCGAGAUUCCCCCAGUAGCGGCGAGCGAACGGGGAGGAGCCCAGAGCCUGAAUCAGCAUGUGUGUUAGUGGAAGCGUCUGGAAAGGCGCGCGAUACAGGGUGACAGCC
rnacentral:rRNA from 1 species